GUGCUCGCUUCGGCAGCACGUACACUAAAACUGAACAACAGAGAAGAUCAGCAUGGCCCCUGCUCAAGGAUGACACGCAAGUUCAUUAAGCGUUUCAUUUUUUU